UGAAUUUUCUCCGAUAUCUUAUCCAUCAACGACUCCCCCACCGAUUCCUCCUUCUGAUGGUCCGCCAUCUCCUCAGAGCACAAAAGCCAAACCCUAAAAACCCUAACACAGUGUUCGAAGCGGAAAAUGAGCUAAACUUCUAGCGAAUCUCCUUUCUUUCUUUGGCUAUGACACACUCUUCUUUCCGUACAUCCCUGGCCCAAGCAAAUUAAGGGGCGGUUUCGUAGCAGAGUGAAUCGUGACCGUUGAGAUCACAAAAUCGAUCUUGGACGUUGAUAGGUUCGGUAGUCGAAGCUAUAGGCUUGGAUCCGUAAUUGUCC
rnacentral:misc_RNA from 1 species